CGCACCUUGCGCUCCUUGGUAUUCCAAGGAGCAUGCCUGUUUGAGUGUCAUGUUCAUUCUCAAACCUUGUGUUUGGUUUUGGAGCGCUGCCAAUCUUGGCUGCUCUUAAAUGCAUUGGCUUAACUCGGGCGUGAUCAGUCACAGUGUUGUAAUCUACUGCGCUGGUUGUGAUCAGGCUUGUUGGCCUCGUGAACAUAUUUUGUACUCUGACCUCAAAUCAGGUAGGACUACCCGCUGAACUUAA
rnacentral:misc_RNA from 1 species